GGGUGAGAUCAUACCAACAUUAAUGCACUGGAUCCCAACGAAACUCCGUAUUUAAGCAUGCUUGGGCUGGAGUAGUACUGGGAUGGGUGAACUCCCGGGAAGUCCUAGCAUUGCACCCU
rfam:Picea glauca, whole genome shotgun sequence.